rnacentral:lncRNA from 1 species
AAUUGGAAUCUCCCCUAAAGAAGAAUGGCCUAGAUUAAAUGAGAAAAUGAGAAAAGAGGACUAAAGAAGGAAAAUUUCAGCCUAGCCAAUGUGGCAAAACCCUGUCUCUACAAAAAGUGCAAAAAUUAGCUGGGCAUGGUGGUGUGUACCUGUAGUCUCAGGUACUCAGGAGGCUGAGGCAGGAGGAUCACUUUGACCCAGUCUCAUUUAAAAACAACAACAAAAACAAAAAGGAAAGACAGAAAAUUAGGAAUACUAGCAUUGAAAGAAAAUGCAGGAGAAAUGGAGAAGUAGGACUGGAAACACAGAAGAACUGUUUCCAGCUAGAGGGUAGUGUCAAGCAUCCCUCAGGAUUGUGGAAGCUCAGGACUCAAACUCAUCUGUGAUUGGCAAUUAUGAAGUCUUUGACUCUGACACCACCCAUUUCAGUGAAUUAAUUGCAGUCCAGUGCAGGGACUGAUGGCUGGGAACAGGAGUUCAGAGAGGUUAGAGGCAAGAAUCAGAGGGAGGAAGUGAAGACAUCAACUGUGAACUACUUUCUUGAGAAGUUAGAACACAGAAAUAAUAGGGCAGUAGUUUGGUAACUUUUGGGAGAAGUGGUGUAAAGGUAGUUGUUACUACUUUGAAAAUGGGAUUGAUUUGAACAUAAACCAAAGGUAAAAAGCUGGUGAGUGAGACAGAGGAGGGAUGCUCAUUUCUGUCAUAUGCAAAAUGUUCUGCAAAUCAGCUAGCCUUGGCUGUGACCCCCGGGAAGCCAGAUGGGAUGCCAUCCCCCUUACUUCAGAAUUGUGGCCUUUCUCUUCUGAGCUCAUUUUCAAUGUUGCUA